UUUACACGGUUCGUAGUGACCUGCGGAAGGAUCAUUAAUGAAAAGUUCUUUUGAACCAAUCAUAACACCCCAUUGUUUUAACUCCACCCCUCCCUUGCUUCCACUGGUCAGUGUUGAGCCCUUCGUCUGACGUUGGGCAAGACCCUUCAUGCGCUUCAAAUUCUUGGAGUGGCUGGAGCGUGCCGGUGCUUGCCUUCCAAAAAAAUAAAAUACUUGAAUAUGAGAAAUACUGUCUGAAUCAAAAAUUUUUAUAAAUCAUUAUAAAACUUUCAACAACGGAUCUCUAGGCUCUUGCAUCGAUGAAGAACGCAGUGAAAUGCGAUACGUAAUGUGAAUUGCAGAAUCUCGUGAAUCAUUGAAUCUUUGAACGCACAUUGCGCCCUAUGGUAUUCCGUAGGGCAUGCCUGUCUGAGCGUCAGCUAGCCCCCCCACUCAAGCUCUUUUGCUUGGAUUAUUUCGGACGAGCAGUCUAUUACUGAUUGCUGCCCGUAAAUUCAUAGGCAGUAUGGUUCCCUCAUUCCAAGCUGAGCGUAAUAAUUAAAACAAUCACGCUCAUACAUUGAAGUUGAGAAUAUCGUACUCGCCCUUAACCCACAAUAUUUUUUAUUUGGGUGACCUCAGAUCAGGUAGGGAUACCCGCUGAACUUAAGCAUAUCAUAA
rnacentral:rRNA from 1 species